rnacentral:tRNA from 1 species
GAUAUAGCUUAGUGGUAGAGCGCUUGCCUAGCAUGUAAAGGCCCUGGGUUCAAUUCCCAGUACA